CCUACGGGUGGCAGCAGUGGGGGAUAUUGCACAAUGGGGGGAACCCUGAUGCAGCGACGCCGCGUGGGUGAAGAAGCGCCUCGGCGCGUAAAGCCCUGUCAGCAGGGAAGAAAAUGACGGUACCUGAAGAAGAAGCCCCGGCUAACUACGUGCCAGCAGCCGCGGUAAUACGGCGGGGGCAAGCGUUAUCCGGAUUUACUGGGUGGAAAGGGGGCGUAGACGGCGAUGCAAGCCAGGUGUGAAAGCCCGGGGGCCAACCCCGGGACUGCUCGUGGAACUGCGUGGCUGGAGUGCAGGAGGGGCAGGCGGAAUUCGUGGUGUAGCGGUGAAAUGCGUAGAUAUCAGGAGGAACACCGGUGGCGAAGGCGGCCUGCUGGACUGCAACUGACGUUGAGGCCCGAAAGCGUGGGGAGCAAACAGGAUUAGAUACCCUAGUAGUC
rnacentral:rRNA from 1 species